rnacentral:rRNA from 1 species
UACGAAGGGGGCUAGCGUUGCUCGGAAUUACUGGGCGUAAAGCGCACGUAGGCGGCUUCUUAAGUCGGUGGUGAAAUCCUGGAGCUCAACUCCAGAACUGCCUUCGAUACUGGGGAGCUCGAGUCCGGGAGAGGUGAGUGGAACUGCGAGUGUAGAGGUGAAAUUCGUAGAUAUUCGCAAGAACACCAGUGGCGAAGGCGGCUCACUGGCCCGAUACUGACGCUGAGGCACGAAAGCGUGGGGAGCAAACAGG